ensembl:lncRNA novel transcript, overlapping to MRGPRF
UAAGUCAGCUACAGCACCGACCUCCAGGAGUUGGUGCAGUGGCCUGGGGUGGCAGCCGGUGUGCCUGAUUGCCCUGGUCGGGCGUUCAGGGCAGGGAGCAGAAUGGCCACUGCAGAAGGGAUGUGCCUGUGAGUGGUUUGUCCCCAGCACCAAUCUGCUGUUUGCGGACAUACUAUGGGCAGUGGGUGCUGGCCAAGAGCUGCACGUAGGUUUUCUGUUGACUGUCCAUGCAGGGCUACAUGGCCCAUACUGUCAGCCCCAGCUGUGGAAGUGGGGGCUCAUGAAUGGAGUUUCUCAUCCAAGGUCAGUCGCGCUGGUGGACGGCCCUGGCUGGAGGCCUACAUCACCAUCCAGGGACUCCCCACAGUGGCCCUCCUGUUGCCCUGGAGGCUCAGGUCUCUGACCUUCCAUCUCCCAUCUGCAAAGCACUGGACACUGGGGUUCCGGGCAGAUGCACGGAGUGGCCUGGACAUGCCCAUCACAGCCCUAGGAUAACCCAGACGGGCCAUCGAGACCUAUCCACACUCUGUGGAGACCAAUGGAGGAAACAGCUCAGUUUCAGGCUGUGGGCGUCUGAAUCAAAGCGGGGACUGGGAACAAGGUGCUCAGCGGACACUCAGCAAACGGCCUGAACGCCGACGCCUCUCCCGUCUCUGUCUCCUGUCUUCACAAAAGGAAAACGGAAUGCCUUUCUGGCAUCCACCCAGCUUUCCCGGAUCCCCUGCCAGUUGUCAUUUUCAGAUAACUUGAAUUUUAUAUUUUAUGCCAGGAUUUUUAAGCCCCCAGGAUCUUUUCACAUCUGCACAGCUUGGCUUGGAAUCCUCAGCUAGGACCAUCCUUCCUCCCCAAGAACCAGGGCCUCAUCUAGAAGGUAGGGCAGGGAAAUGAGGGUCCACAUGUGGUCCGGCCCCUCGGCAUACAGGGAGAUGACCAGGCCUGGGAAAUGUGCCCUUCGACGGGCUGGUGACAAGGCCAAAAAGCUGGGCAAACACAUUGCAGAGAUCCUCCCAAACUAAAACCACUGAGAGUACAAGUGCAAAACAUUCCCUUUUAAGCCAGUAGGGGCUUGACAGCUGGAGAACUUGAAAACAACAGGGCACAGUUCACAAAAUCAAAACUCAUGGAAAACUCUGCGCGGGUGAGUCAGAGUGCCAGCGCCAAGUUUCCUGGCAUGCAAGAGGAGGCUCCCCCGCUCAGGCAGAUUUUUUUAAACAUCUUUUUAAUAAAUUGAAUUGAGACCUAAUUUACAUAAAAUAAAACUGACCCAUUUAAUAUCCAGUUUAA